CAUAUCAUGUUAAAAGACCUGUUCUCGUACGAUCACCAAAGUUAAACAACGUAGAAACUGAUCAGUACUUGGAUGGGUGACCGAUUAGGAAUAAUAGGUACUGUAAG